rnacentral:rRNA from 1 species
CGCCCGCCGCGCGCGGCGGGCGGGGCGGGGGCACGGGGGGCCUACGGGAGGCAGCAGUGGGGAAAUAUAGAGGUUCUUGGGCGAGCUGAUCAGCAUGCCGCGUGAGUGAUGAAGGCCUUAGGGUUGUAAAGCUCUUUUACCCGAGAUGAUAAUGACAGUAUCGGGAGAAUAAGCUCCGGCUAACUCCGUGCCAGCAGCCGCGGUAAU